UACGGGGGGGGGCAAGGCGUUGUUCGGAAUUACUGGGCGUAAAGGGCUCGUAGGUGGCCAACUAAGUCAGACGUGAAAUCCCCAGGCUCAACUUGGGAACUGCGUCUGAUACUGGAUGGCUUGAAUUCGGGAGAGGGAUGCAGAAUUCCAGGUGUAGCGGUGAAAUGCGUAGAUAUCUGGAGGAAUACCGGUGGCGAAGGCGGCAUCCUGGACCGAGAUUGACACUGAUGAGCGAAAGCUAGGGGAGCAAACAGG
rnacentral:rRNA from 1 species